UUUUUUUUUUUUUUGGUCUUUUUGCCAUUUCUUGGGCAGCUCCUGGGGCAUAUGGAGGUUCCCAGGCUAGGGGUCGAAUCGGAGCUGUAGCCACCGGCCUACGCCAGAGCCACAGCAACGUGGGAUCCGAGCCUCGUCUGUGACCUACACCACAGCUCACGGCGACGCUAGAUCUUUAACCCACUGAGCAAGGCCAGGGAUGGAACCCACCACCUCAUGGUUCCUAGUCAGAUUCGAUAACCACUACACCACGACGGGAACUCCUGAAGGCUCUUUUUCUCGUCUUGGGCAUAGAGGCCGAGAUACAGAAGAGCUUUAAAGGACCUAAUUUCCCCGAGUGAAUAACAGAGGCAAACGUUAAUGGUAAUGUCAGCACGACCAGUUCUUAACAGUUUCUAUUUUAGGGGUGUGCUCACUGUUGUCCAGUUCUGUGCCUCAAACCAGGAGCAGUAUGUUCAUUCCAAAAAGAAGUCUGAAAAGCUUGGGGAAGCUGAAAAGUACUCCCCCACCCCCUCCCUCGACUCACACCCUCAACUCUCCAUUUGUGGGUAAGUCUCCUCCUGCCACUGCCUCGGAUGGUGGAGAAAACGGAGCUGCUUCCAAGGAAGAUGAACAGCCCAGAGCUGGUCCCUUCUGGUUGGGAGCUGCCCUGCCUUAUUUGAAACAUGGAUCUUACAAGUUGAGCAUCUGAAAGAAACCAGCCAGGCUCCCUUAGGGUCGGCUUUGCCCAGUCCCUAGAACAAAAGCCAGAGCAUUUUGGACAGGAGCAACCUAAACAUGUAUCAAGCAGUCCAAGAGAUGGUCAGUUACACAAACACUUUCAGGCCAAACUGCCUGGCGGAGGGUGGCCGUGGGAAAGCUUUGGUGCCACCUAGUGGCCGCCAUGCGGGAGGGCCAGCAACAGCUCUCUUCCCUGCAGAAGACUCCGCCCUGAUCAACGCGCAGAGGCAUUGCACCUCCACUAAUUAUUCUGUAUUUGAUUAUUUUAUUGCCACAACGUGCUGAGGCAACUGAAAUAACGAUGACAUGAGACGAUGCAAACAGAAAGAGAAAAUCCAGGCUAAAGAAAAAAGAGCCUAGAAAAAACGCCAACCAUGAAGGAAAAUUGCUGCAGAUGAAUUUCCUAGAAGCCAAAGCAAAAAGGGAAAUGUGACCAGCUUAGUGGUUCUCAUUGAUGAUGAGAGAAUCCAGUGACACUGUCUUUUUUUUUUUUCCCUCCCGCAGUUGACUUUUUUUUUUUUUUUUUAAUUUUCCCACUGUACAGCAAGGGGGUCAGAUUAUCUGUACAUGUAUACAUUACAAUUACAUUUUUCCCCCACCCUUUCUUCUGUUGCAACAUGAGUAUCUAGACAAAGUUCUCAAUGCUAUUCAGCAGGAUCUCCUUGUCAGUGACACUGUCUUAUUUCAUUGUAAUUUAGCUUGCCUCAAUGCCCCUUCUCAACAGAAACCAGGUUUUUCUUAGCACAGAUGUCUAAAAUUGCUUUCUCAGAAGGGGGUUUUCAUAAGGGAUUUUCUCUGUAGGGUAGGUGACCAAUUUGGUCCAAGUCGGUAGCUUUCCUGAUUGAAGGAUGGCAUUUCUAAGACCCGGAGGAGAAGACACGGCCACGUGCUUUGUAAAAGCUCCCUGAACAUCUCCAGCUGUAGUGGGAAGAGGGAAAUUUGGCCCUGGGCAGAAAGCAUGCAAGCUGGCUUCCUCCAGUCCGUUGAGACCAGAUCUGCAGAGUUUGGCAAGCAGAGGACAAGUGGUGAGGCAGGCACCCUCCUGGGAGACUCAGGCUCCCACCCACAGUCCUAGCCCACAGCUCCUAGAGGCCCCCUGCAUCCCUGGCUACAGUCUGCAGGUCCAAAGCCAAUCCAAUUCUCUAACCUCACUCCCCACUGGUUAAAAAGGCUUCUGGCACUUCAAAGCCCUUCCAGAGAAGUCAUAAAUUCCCUCAGCCUACCCUCCACUGAGAUUCCUGAAAACUGACAGGAAUUCAGUUCCCUCCACUUGUUUCACUGAUCUGAGUGGAUUUAUUUAUUCAACAAGUAUUUACUGAGUCCCACGAUGGUUUAAAGAAACAGUGCAACAUAUAAAAACUACAUAACAUCUUCAUUUCCACUCACAUGCUGGUAAAUUUGAUAUAAUGCUCACUAACAAUAAUAAUAAAGUUUAAAAUCCAGGAUGCACCAAGUACUGCAUCGUUUGAUCCCUGGGUCAAAUGAGUUGAUAAGCAAACCUCAUAGAACAACUGCAUGUCAGCCAAGGGGACCUGGGACUGAAGGGGAGAAACGUCAUCUCAUCCUCAGGGAACUAACCCUACUCCCAGCCCUCCAGCGACCGCUUUUCAUAGAGUGCCAAGUACCUUUAAAGUACCUAGUAAUUAAAACGAUAAAAAGUAUCAUGGGAGUCCCUAUUGUGGCUCAGCAGGAAUGAACCCAUGAGGAUGUGGGUUCAAUCCCUGGCCUCACUCAAUGGGUUAAGGACCCGGCAUUGCUGUGGCUGUGGUAUAGGCCGGCAGCUGUAACUCUCAUUUGACCCCCUUUUUUGUCUUUUUGCCAUUUCUUUGGGCCGCUCCUGCGGCAUAUGGAGGUUCCCGGGCUAGGAGUGAAUGGGAGCUGUACCUGGGAACCUCCAUAUGCCGUGGGAGCGGCCCUAGAAAAGGCAAAAAGACAACAAAAAAAAAAAGCUCCUGGUGGCUUCCUAUUGCCUCUAGACUACAAAACUCAACUGCCUGUCCCCCAGGUCACAGAGCUCUACAUGAUCUGGCUCUUCCAUCUCUACCCAGCCUCAUCUCCCAUCUGCUCUUUGCCUCCCUGACUCUGCUUCAAUCCCACCAGACUUCUUGGGGCAGGUCCAGGUCCACGGUGGUGGCAGUGAUGGCCAGCGGAAUCAAACGCUGGUGCUGAGUGUGACAGGCUCACGGAAGGCCCCGCGGCUGCCCAUCCCCCUGUCCCCAAACCUUCCUGUUACAACAUUAAGACAUGAAACUUACAACCAACAGAAGCUACACCUUGACUGGCUCGCAGUCAACUAAUAGAAACAAGCCUUUAAACAUACACUUGCCCCACAUCAUGGUCGUAACAGUGACACAAUUAAGAACCAUCCUGUGUUGUCCAGAGGUAGAGACGGGUGGACAAAGACAAUGACCUCUUCCCAAGGACCAGGAAAAGCGUCCUGGAGGAGGAGAAUGCUUGGGACGAUGAGUGAACGCUUUUCACGAUGCUAGAGAAAAGGGACACGGAGGAGUAGCUUUGGUGAAACUGGAAAAGUUGGAAAACAUGGAGGGGAGAAACGCUGCAUCCAGCUCUCACGGUGAGUAAAGAAAUCUCUCAUGAAAGAAACUGACUCAGCAUCACUGCCGAUAGAUAUUGGCCGAACCUCCCUCGGCUGCUGGCGGGAGAGACCGAUGGCGGAGGCCUCGGCGGCUCUAGGGAACCAAGGCAGAGAGAAAUAAGGCAGGAAUUUAACCUUCCUUGGAGAGUCCUUUUUACAACAGCAGGCAACUCAAUGUGCCCCCUGUAUUGCAGGUGACCAGCACAAGAUGCAUCCACUUGAUAGCGGACAUAUUUUCUUGGCUGUCGAUCAAAUUCGCAACGAGGACGAGCUGAUUUUUGUAUGCUGAACGCCUGCCUGAAGGCACAGUGGGUCCUUCCGGACACCUGCUCAUUAUUGCAUAUGGGACCUGAGCGUCAUUCUCCCAGCUGAAGCCACUCCAGCUUUAUGGGCGUCACUUUGCUCUUCCAAAAUACGGUGGCUCCUGUGUACCCGUCUUUUACCACUUGGCCCUUGGUCAGCAAAGAAACCACCCUGCUUCAAGGGACCUCCUGAAAAGGCCACUCCGGUACAUCGCGAUAAAACAAAGAGCUGACAUUGACUGAGAACUCUAUGCACCUGGCCUUGCGCUAAGUGCUUGAUAUACAUGCUCUUUAAGUCCUUUCAUCUUGAGUGUAUGAGGUGGAGUUAUCCCCAUGAUACGCAGGAGGAAACCAGCGAAGAGAGUAAGAAACGGCCACGAUCCCACAACGAGCCAAGAGAAGACUCUCAUCACGUCGUCAUAAAUAAAUUUCCUUUAAAUAAAUCUACUGGGUAUGGUUAAGGGCUAUCAGAACACGUCAAGCUAUACAGACCUGGAACUCUCCCCUAAGGCGUUUACGGCACAGUAGGUUUAAAAAAAUAACAACAUACAAACAUCAUCUCCCAUCCAACCUCACCUCCCAUCCCAACGAGGAGGGAGGUGUGUGACCUAAGUUCUGGGCACCAUUCUCCCGUGGACAAGGGCAGAAUCACUCCCGGGAAAGCAACGGACACACGAGCUGGGUUUUGAAAAGGCGCAAAGAAUAAAAUGUGAGAAUGUCCUUCCAAGCUGAAACAUGUAUUUGGGGGCAGGGGGGCACACCUGCGGCAUAAGGAGGAUCCCAGGCCAGGGGUCAGACUGGAGUCGCAGCUGCCGGCCACAGUCACAGCCACAGCCAGGCAGGAGCUGAGCUGCAUCUGCAACCUAUACCACAGCUACGCUGGAUCCUUAACCCACCAAGCUGAGGCCAGGGAUUGAACCUGCAUCCUCAUGGAUACUAGUUGGGUUCAUUGCUGCUGAGCCGCGACAGGAACUCUCCAAAACAUUUAAGUCACACUCUCCCCAAAGAGGAAUUCUUAAACCAGCAACAUUCAAGGUAACAUUUCAUUAUUAUUUUAUCAUUUAUGAUUUUAUUAAUAAAAUAUUAAUUUAUCACAUUACCUUAUUUGCAUAUGUAAUUGUAAGCACAAUUCACAAGACUCUUCUCAGACACAACUCCUUAAUGAAUCUAAGGGUAAAAAUCUUGUAGAAUUAGGGAGUUCCCUGGUGGUCUAGUGACUGCGACUCAGCGCUUUCACCACUACGGCCUGGGUACCAAGAUCCCAUACCAAGCCAAAGCUAAAGCUGUGGCAAAAAAAAAGGGAGGGGGCGGGGAGAGAGGGGGAAGGAGGAGAGGGGGAGAGAGAGAGAGGAGACAGAAAAUCUGGCAGGAUUAGCAUGUAGCUGUUUGGGACUAAAUUCUUUGUUUGUUUUUGCUUUUUAGGGCCGCACCCACGGCAUGUGGAGGUUCCCAGGCUAGGGGUCUAACUGGAGCUGAAACCGCUGGCCUACACCACAGCCAGGGCCCCUCCAGAUCUGAGCCACGUCUGCGAUCUACACCACAGCUCAUGGCAACGCCAGAUCCUCAACCCACUGAGCAAGCCCAGGGAUCGAACCCACAACCUCAUGGUACCUAGUCGGAUUCGUUUCCGCUGUGCCACGACGGGAACUCAGGGACUAAAUUCAAGUUUCAGAAAUUAUAAACAGAUUCUAUUAAAAUUCCAUCCCUAUGAUUUAAUUACGGGCAUUAUCAAGACUAACAAUAAAGAAGGGUCUCCUAUGAAAUGCGAAAGUUCUGCUUGCAUCAGAUAGAGGCGGGAGUCCGCCAGGGGAAGAGGCUGACUCUGCCUUGGGAAAGCAGUCGGGGCUGUCCACAGGUCACAUACGAAAGGCCUGCUUCUAUGAA
rnacentral:lncRNA from 1 species